GACGAACGCUGGCGGCGUGCUUAACACAUGCAAGUCGAACGGAAAGGCCCUACUUUUGUGGGGUGCUCGAGUGGCGAACGGGUGAGUAACACGUGAGUAACCUGCCCUUGACUUUGGGAUAACUUCAGGAAACUGGGGCUAAUACCGGAUAGGAGCUCCUGCUGCAUGGUGGGGGUUGGAAAGUUUCGGCGGUUGGGGAUGGACUCGCGGCUUAUCAGCUUGUUGGUGGGGUAGUGGCUUACCAAGGCUUUGACGGGUAGCCGGCCUGAGAGGGUGACCGGCCACAUUGGGACUGAGAUACGGCCCAGACUCCUACGGGAGGCAGCAGUGGGGAAUAUUGCACAAUGGGCGGAAGCCUGAUGCAGCAACGCCGCGUGCGGGAUGACGGCCUUCGGGUUGUAAACCGCUUUCGCCUGUGACGAAGCGCGAGUGACGGUAAUGGGUAAAGAAGCACCGGCUAACUACGUG
rnacentral:rRNA from 1 species